UACGUAGGGUGCGAGCGUUGUCCGGAAUUAUUGGGCGUAAAGGGUGCGUAGGCGGGUCUUUAAGUCAGGGGUGAAAUCCUGGAGCUCAACUCCAGAACUGCCUUUGAUACUGAGGACCUUGAGUACGGGAGAGGUGAGUGGAACUGCGAGUGUAGAGGUGAAAUUCGUAGAUAUUCGCAAGAACACCAGUGGCGAAGGCGGCUCACUGGCCCGUAACUGACGCUGAGGCACGAAAGCGUGGGGAGCAAACAGG
rnacentral:rRNA from 1 species